UGGGGAAUUUUGGACAAUGGGGGAAACCCUGAUCCAGCCAUCCCGCGUGUGCGAUGAAGGCCUUCGGGUUGUAAAGCACUUUUGGCAGGAAAGAAACGUCAUGGGUUAAUACCCCGCGAAACUGACGGUACCUGCAGAAUAAGCACCGGCUAACUACGUGCCAGCAGCCGCGGUAUUACGUAGGGUGCAACCGUUAAUCGGAAUUACUGGGCGUAAAGCGUCCGCAGGCGCUUCGGAAAGAAAGAUGUGAAAUCCCAGGGCUGAACAGUGGAACUGCAUUUUUAACUACCGGGCUAGAGUGUGUCAGAGAGAGGUGGAAUUCCGCGUGUAGCAGUGAAAUGCAUAGAUAUGCGGAGGAACACCGAUGGCGAAGGCAGCCUCCUGGGAUAACACUGACGCUCAUGCACGAAAGCGUGGGGAGCAAACAGG
rnacentral:rRNA from 1 species